rnacentral:rRNA from 1 species
AAGUUAUGCGCACAAAGUGCCAGGAAAGAAUUAUUCAAGCCCUUCCCAGAAGGUAUCCUUCUGGCAAGGGUACUGUACUAAACUAACUAAAGUGGGGGAUAGUGAGGGGAUAAAUUUUCUUAAGGAACUCGGCAAAAUCCCAAUGGCCCACCAGGGCAUAUUGGAACACGGGCCUCGACUGUUUACCAAAAACAUAGCCCUCGGCUAAUAUGAAAAUAGAUGUAUAGAGGGUGAUGCCUGCCCAAUGGUUGUAUCUAAAAGCGGUUGAUAAAAGUUGACCUCGUAAGGACAAUUGAAUGGCCGCGGUAACACUGACCGUGAUAAUGUAGCGUAAUCAAUAGCCAAUUAAUUGUUGGCCAGUAUGAAUGGCGCCACGAAGGCCCCACUGUCUUAAGGAAAUUCCCAGUGAAAUUGAAUUCGUAGUGAAGAUGCUACGUCCAAUUUGUUAGACGAAAAGACCCCGUUGAGCUUUACUGGAGCACUUACAUGGCCCCGGCCUUCCCAUGCCUGGGAACCGGCCGAAUUUAAAUGGGCGGCUUAGAUUAUGUGGCAGCCCCCCGCUGGGGCAAAUGAAACACCACUCCCCCAUGUCAAAGGGGCUAACCCCCCCCCUUGGGGGGACAGUGUAAGUAGGACAGUUUGGUUGGGGCGACCACCUUUUAAAAAGUAACGAAGGUGCGCUUAAGGUGCGCAAUUAAUGACUGAAGCCUGACUGCGAGGGGGACACCCCGAGCAGACACCCCAAAGCCCGCCCGAAAGGCGGCGGUGGGGUGGGCCAUAGUGACCCGUUAAUUUAGAGUGGAAUAGUUAACGAUCAACGAAUAAAAGUUACCACGGGGAUAACAGCGUAAUAUCGUUAGAGAGUUCACAUCGACGACGAUGUUUGCGACCUCGAUGUUGAAUUGCGGCAUCCUGGGGUGCAGCCGCUCCAAGUGUGGGGUGGUUGGAAC